rnacentral:rRNA from 1 species
ACCUACGGGGGGCAGCAGUGGGGAAUAUUGCACAAUGGGGGGAACCCUGAUGCAGCGACGCCGUGUGGGUGAAGGAGCACCUCGGUGCGUAAAGCCCUAUCGGCAGGGAAGAAAAGCGAACAGGUUCGCCUGGACGGUACCUGACUAAGAAGCCCCGGCUAACUACGUGCCAGCAGCCGCGGUAAUACGUAGGGGGCAAGCGUUAUCCGGAUUUACUGGGUGUAAAGGGAGCGUAGACGGCAGAGCAAGUCUGAAGUGAAAGCCCGCGGCCCAACUGCGGGACUGCUUUGGAAACUUCCCGGCUG